ACAAAAUAAGUCAAAAUAAUGGAAUAGUAAGUCAAAUAACUAUCCCGAGUUGGGAAAAAAACAAGAUAUUAAGUUGAAAUUAUGAGAUAUUAAGUUGAAAUUGAGAUGUUAAGUUGAACUUAUGAGAUACUAAAUUGAAAUUAUGAGAUGUUAAGUUGAAAUUAUGAGACAUUAAGUUGAAAUUAUGAGAUACUAAGUUGAAAUUAUGAGAUACUAAGUUGAAAUUAUGAGAUACUAAGUUGAAACAACAACGUGGCAUUUUGUCCACACUGGGUUCAGGGUUUCUGUAACCUCACAUGAAAGAGAAAGCUCUAAACAAUUACAUACGGUAUCUUUAAGACAACAUGCCUGAAACUAAUGAGAGAAAACCUUGUACUGCUGACGCUGUUAAGGUUUGUGUACAGGAUGCCUGGACUGCUAGACGCAGGCCUGUGCACGGAUUGGAUUUGCAUCGCAAUUAAGUUACUUUGGACAAAAAGUAUCUUCAGAGUGAAUAUAAAUGUAAAUGUAAUGUAAAUAUAUGCAGGUGGCAUUUUGGGGCAUCAGCUGCAGGGUGUGUUUUAUUCCCCUCUCAGCUCGGACUCAGAUAUCUGUAAUCUACGGCCUAGUCAGCUCCUGAAAUAGAAAGGAUUAGCCUCGGGAGCGAGUGACCGAGCCGCUGAGUUUUUGCACCUACUCUAUCAUUCAGCUUUUUAAAGGAUUCAAAAUCAUGUUAAACAUGAACAUUAACAUUAAAAUGACCUGUUUCUUCUAUAAAUAUUCGCAAAUAAAUAAAAGGAAAUAAAGAUAUUCAUGUGUGUGUUUUAGCCACAAGCUAGUGUACAGCUGUAGUGGACUUUUUUGUUGUUUUUUUAGCACUUUUUUGUUAUUUAUUUGAAGUCUGUGAGAUAUGACAAAAAUAUCAUAUCACGAAUCUCGAAGGUAUUUCUACGAUGCACGAUAUGCGAUGUGUAUCAUGAUAUAAACUGCCAGCAAGAGAGAAGUAUUAAUUUAAAAAUAAAAACCCUGUUUGAUGAUACUUUAUCUGAAGCCCUUGUUAGUUUUAGUAUUUUGUAGCUAGUAGUAGUAGCUAAAGUUGUUAGUAAUUAAUCAGAAGAGCAAAUUAAUUCUUUUUGAAAGUGGAACACAUUGAAAAUACAGUAACGAUCUAGUAUUUAAUAGAUAAAUAUGUCAUAAUUGUAAAUAAUAUCUGCUACAUACCGUUUAAUUUUAAGGAUUGUAAUUACAUAUUGGAAAGAAUGUGACAGAAAUGAUUUGAAAUCCACACAUACACUGCAAAAAUCAGAUCUUAGAAAAAUUAUUCAUCUGUUUUUAUUCUAUUGGCAGAUCAUUUUGCUUCUUUCUAAAAACAAAUGCGAACAAUUAUCUGAAAUAUAAAACUAUUUCAAGCUUCAUUUUUUUAAGUCUAGAAAUAGGUUUAAUAAUCAAAUAUUUGCUGUACUGUAAUCUUAUAGGAAAUAUUAGAUGCAUUUGACUGUAUUCCUGAUAUUUUCACUUUUAUUUUUUGCAGUGUACUUACCUAUUCAGUACUGAGUAGUUACAGUACUGUAAAAUGAACUGCUUCCAUAAUUAACUUCAUCAAUUAAUAAUUAAUAAUCAAUAACUCUCUGAUUGCGUGUACAUGAAAUCAUGUGUAAUGCAGAAAGCCUGAUCUCAUCAGGAAUUUGGAAGAAUUCAAAUGAACAAGGGCUGGGCAAUGUGAUGAUAUCGAUAUCACGAUAAAUUGUGGCACCGUAUACUUUUCUGAGAUAUCGCUGUUAUUGUGAGAUCUUUUUAUAACUUAUUUUUAUUAAAUGAACAGUUGCAAGCUCUGAUUGGAAGAUUAGAUAUUGCACAGAAUCUUUAACAUUUCUUACAAUUAAUUUAUUUCAAUUUAUUAGAAAUGUCCUAUUUAUUCUCAAUUUUAUUCCAGUUUUAGUACAUUAUGUAAGAAUGUCAUCAAACACAGUUCUAAAUAGUUUUUUUGUUAUAAUAUUGUGAUAGUAAUAUAUAUAUAGUAUCAUGCAUCGUAGAAUUGUCUCCAAGUGUCAUGAUAUGAUAUUUUUCUACUUUUUAUCAUAUUUUUAUCAUAUUGCCCAGCCGAUGGAUGAUGUGGUUGGAUCUUUUUUCCUUCAGACUCACAUGAAUGAUUUUAAGCAUUGUAACUUCUCAUCUUAAUUGAAUUGUCAAAAAUUGUUCGGUGUUUACGUGGCUAUAAGAGAACCGGACAUUUUGAAUUGAGCGAGGAUUUGAAGAAGACAUUUGAUUAGUUGUUAUAUCGAAUCAUGAACACUUCAUUAUUCGUGUACUCAGUGCUAAUCACAUUUUGGAGAAGAGUGUGUGUGUGUGUGUGUGUGUGUGUGUGUGUGUGUGUGUGUGUGUGUGUGUGUGUGUGUGUGUGAGAGAGAGAGAGAGAGAGACUGAUGAAGUGGGUCUUAAUGAGUCACAGCGUCUUGUUGCCGUCUUAUUAAAUGAGAGAGAGAGAGAGAGAGAGAGAGAGAGGUAGGUAAUAAAGUGCCAGUGUGUGUGUGUGUGUGUGUGUGUGUGUGUGUGUGUGUGUGUGUGUGAGAGAAGGUGGAGUAAAACAGCCAUGUUGUAGAAAUGACUCAUCAUGAAAAACCCUUCUUACACAGCACUUUGUAGUAGAUGUGUACACUUGUGGUUUUUACUUUCAUGUGGGCAAAAAAACGCCCAAAAAGGCCAUGAUUCUGACCAUGUGAUCGUAUUGGACAUCGUAUUGGCAGAUUUCCCUCGCUGUGUGCCGUAUUUACAGCAUUCAAUAAUUCAUCUGGAGUAACUAACUGCUUUAUCGUGUCCUUACACAUUACUCACACGUUUCAGAUGUGAUGUGUACACGUGGUGGACUCCACAUGUAGUUCACAUGUGACUUUUACACAAGAUGAAUUUAUUUUCACGUGUUCAGUUGAAUUUUUUAGGUGUGGUUUUCUUAUAGGAACAAUUACUUUUCAUGUGAUCCCAUAUUAUUCACACAGUCUCGCAUGUUUACUUGACUUCAAUUUCAGGGCCAUUACAUGGUGAAAUGGAUCUCCUUUUUCUUUUUUCUCCUUAAUUUAGUCUUGGCCACUUCCCACCCACCAGCCAGCUCUCUCCUAUCACACGACAGGUACCAACCCGGGAGGGAGAAGGUGAUCACGUGCUUCCUCCAAGACACAAGAAGCCAUCAAUCACAUCUUUUCAAACUGCUGUUCAGGCCGAGUCACAGGGUGGCGUAACACAUUCGAAGGAAAGCGCUAUCUGCCCCCUUCUGCAUACAGGAGCUCACAGAUGCCCAGGAUUGGCUAGUGUUGCUGUGAUUGACAGUGGAAAGAGAGUAUGCCCCUCCCAUCCAGAGAGCACGGCUAGUUUUGCUCUCUUGGACUUUUGGCCACGGAUGACUGAUGACUGUAGCAUCUUUGUGAUCCGACUCUGGACAAUAGAGUGAACGCUUUUAUGUUGCGCCACUCGCCCUCUUCACGUGUUAAAAAUAUUGAUUUUUCUGUAAAGGUGGUAAACCUCACUGUGGUUUAAAUGACUAAUUAGUAUAUAUUUUGCAAAACAAUGCUGACUAGAAAAUAUCGCAACCUGAUACAGACCAGUGGGGUCUAAGCAGCAUAACCAGGUGGAUAUUUUACAAGCUAUUUCUUUUAAUUUUGAGUUUUUAUAGUUAUUAUUAUUACCUAAAUUAGAUGGGUUUCAUAUAAGGAAUAAGUAUUGAGUAAAUCUGUCAGGUGGAAGGGAUUAUUAAAGCAGCCAUGUUCGAGAAAGGCUGGAUUUACACAACACGAUCCAGACACACUCAUCCCGCAAAAAUCCCUUCUCACACAGCAGCAUGUCGGCUAGGCUAAUGCUAAUACAGUAAAGUGCAAUAGCUUGUAAACACACUGUGUCUAUUAAUAGCUCUGAUAUGUAAAAAUAAUUAGCAGACAAGAUUCCAAAAGUAUUUGUUGUUUUCCCCUUCGUGCUGAUUUACAUUCUCUCGUGCUGCUACACUACAGGAAGGAGUGUCCUGCAGCUCGGCUCUGGUGCAAAUGACUUUAUUUCCACGAUGCAGAGAGGAAUACGUCAGUCUCAGAUGAUCACAGAACAUGCAGGACUCGGUCCAGACGAAAUCCUGCUCACGGUGCACUUCAGGACAUCACAGGGAGCAGGGACGGGACGAGACGCGUGUGUGUGUGUGUGAAAUGCACACACCUCUAUUACAGGCACGCCACACUGAUGCUAUAACUGUGAUGUAAUCACGUCCUGCUCCUCUGGAUGGAUUUAUCAGUUAUUACACUGUAAUAGCAUUGAAGUAGCUUUAGAAAGCUCGGCGAGGUCUGUGUGUACGUUCCUCUGAGUUACGUAAAAUAAAGCGUGAUGGCUUUUAAGAAAAGGGGAGCUUCGUUUAAAAAAAAAGUAUUGUGGCAUACGUUAUUAGGACUGAGACUUAGGUCUGCGAAUAACUUUUAUUUAAAUCUAUUAUUAUUCUAGACAACGAUUAUUGUCUUUUUAAAGGUUAAGGUAAGAGUACCUCUAAAUAUUUUCAAAUAUGAUUUAUUAAAAACAUUUACUUGGUAACAAUUUACAAUAGUUUCAGCCACUAUUCACCAUUCCUUACAAAGAGCCAAGGGCAUUAUGGGAUUUCUGUUCCCUCUUAACUAAUCACGUGAUCUGUGAAUGCUGAAGUUAGUAUUUAAGAUAUUAAAGUUGACACGAAAAAUCACGAUUUUGAUGCAGCAGCCAUUAUAUUCAUAAAAGAACCAAAUUCAAUGCAACCAUCAGAUUUCAGGCUUUGUGAAAUGGAGACACAUUUUACUACAAGUGUAAAUACACGUGGUUAGAAUCCAGAUACGUGACACGUGAAAUAAAAAGGUAUAAACGUGUUUAAGAAAUAAAAAAUGUUGUAGAUCAUCUGUGUGCGUCAGUCUUGCACAAAAGAACAUUCUGCCUUAUGUCAGAUGUAGACACACUUUAAAUGAUUAAUGACCAGUGCAUUUGGUUUAAUUUAUUCCCAAAGUAAAUCCAAAACUUGAAUAAAGUAAUGAAAUUUAUUUCAAGAUGGCUGCACAUUGUGCCAAAUUAUGUCCUUUCAUUUUUAGUCCAGUAAGCAGAAUCUGAGCAGUGUUUGUCUGUUAUCAGUCUGCACAUCAGUUUUGCAGCGACAAAGCACAAGCACACUUUUUUUUUCUUCCUCAGCCUACUUCGCUUUAUCCUGACAACGAAUGAGUUCUGGCCCACGCCUGCCACUUUCAUUUGGCCCACAUAGCGCUGUGAAAGGAAGGUGACGAAUUCCUCCGAGUCUUUCUGCCAGGCCGCAGCCACAACUCAACCUUUACGAGACGGAUCUCAGGAAUAAGACAGACCAGAAAUUACAAUUUGUACAGAGUUUUUGUUAGAUCUGUUUGGAUCCUUGCCACGUGACGACCUGAUGCCCCAUCCAUGGCGUGUCCUUGCCUUGAGCUCAGUGUUCCCAGGAUAGAGUCCAGAUCCACUGUGACCCUGACCGGGAUAAAGCAUUUACUGACACUCACCGUUAAGUGCCGUAAUUGCUGUGUGUAAUCACUGAGGCAUUUUGCCCUGAAACACUUGGAGCUCAUACAGACUCGUCUCCAUCCCCAUCUGUAGUUUUCUCACUUCAACAUGCUGUACUGCGAGGAGAAAUUGCUCAAGACUCUGCAUGAGGAUUAGUUGGACAGAAAAUUCCAUUUGUCUUGCACAUUAUUUUCAUCUUUUAUGGUCAACGAAAUCAGCCGGCUGGACCAUCCCACCUCUCCGUGUCCUAAAAACAGAGGAAAAAACAGCAGCACUGUAGAAAUUGGACGCUUGGAUCAUGCCGUUUUGUUUUGCCCUGUCAGAUCAUAUAAAAGAGUGGCACAUGCGCUCCUGCAGGCUGGACAGGAAGCUGUCUAUCUCGUGCUGAGGAAUGUCUCCGUCCAGCUGGGCCAGAUACGUGUACAGGCCGACGAACGUGUCGAAGGGGAUCCGAGCUGCUCCGCCCUCCGGGUCCUCGCUCAGGAUUUCACACGCAAACUUCAGAGCACUGAUGAUCGUCUGUGAACACGACGACAGACCUGAGGCUCGCGUUCACACCACCACUGCACCCGAGAGCGAAGAAGUGCAUCCAGUCGACCUCGGUGCUGAAGUUCCCGAGCGUGAGCAGUGUGUCGAGCUGUUCGGCUGGCAGACACAGGCCUUUCCACUUCUGCUCCAGCUCUUCUUUACCAACAUUCUUCUUGGAUGAAAGCUACAGAGAAAGACGCGUAUGUUUUUCAAUUUCAAUUUUUCAAUUUCAAUUUUAUUUGUAUAGCGCUUUUAACAAUGGACACUGUCACAAAGCAGCUUUACAGAAAUAAAUCGAUUCAAAUUAACCAAAAUAAACUGUAAAUGUGAAUUUCUCUCUAACGAGCGAGCCAGAGGUGACGGUGGUGAGGAAAAACUCCCUGAGACGAUGUGAGGAAGAAACCUUGAGAGGAACCAGGCUCGGAAGGGUCACUCCGGAUAGUGCGAUUAUAAAUCAUUCCCUUCUAUAACUGUGUACUACAUGGACAAAUAGUGCGAUGUAUAUAUUUCCAGCCUGUCUUUGACUGGAAGAGGUUCACCUUCUGACAGCGCGGUGAAAUAGCUGAAAAAGACAAAGGCAGGA